GCCGACGUAGUUUAUUUAAAAUUACAGUUUGUCUAACUGUUGUUGGCGCUUGCCCGUCGGUG
rnacentral:tRNA from 1 species